rnacentral:rRNA from 1 species
UGGGGAAUUUUGGACAAUGGGCGAAAGCCUGAUCCAGCAAUGCCGCGUGUGUGAAGAAGGCCUUCGGGUUGUAAAGCACUUUUGUCCGGAAAGAAAUCCUUGGCUCUAAUACAGUCGGGGGAUGACGGUACCGGAAGAAUAAGCACCGGCUAACUACGUGCCAGCAGCCGCGGUAAUACGUAGGGUGCAAGCGUUAAUCGGAAUUACUGGGCGUAAAGCGUGCGCAGGCGGUUUGCUAAGACCGAUGUGAAAUCCCCGGGCUCAACCUGGGAACUGCAUUGGUGACUGGCAGGCUAGAGUAUGGCAGAGGGGGGUAGAAUUCCACGUGUAGCAGUGAAAAUGCGUAGAGAUGUGGAGGAAUACCGAUGGCGAAGGCAGCCCCCUGGGCCAAUACUGACGCUCAUGCACGAAAGCGUGGGGAGCAAACAGGAUUAGAUACCCUGGUAGUCCACGCCCUAAAACGAUGUCAACUAGUUGUUGGGGGAUUCAUUUCCUUAGUAACGUAGCUAACGCGUGAAGUUGACCGCCU